AUACGUAAAGAAAGCGGCAGUCGUACCACGUCCGGAAAAGUUGGGCUGCAGAUCCGUUUGUUUUUUAAGGUAGAAAUGGCCCGUUACCUAUUAAACGGUUAAAGGAGAGAAGAUAUGUUGUGAAAACUCUCAGCCUCCAUGGUUCACACGAACCCACCUUGUGUAAGAUGUGUCAACUAAUAAGCCCAAGAAUUGUUUCUGUGUUUGCAGUAACCUCGAUAAAGGGACCUUUGACAAAUUUCACCGAAACGUUUCACUCAGGUCUGACUUUAUGGAAGGGCCCGGGAGGCCUUUUUAGGGUGUCACCGCCCGAGUCGGGCUGAGCCGGCAAUAGCCUGCAGAAAUUAUCUCAAGGCUCGGAGCGGCUAGCCCUGGGCAAUCAGGAGCAGCUUAGCAUCGCCGGGCCCCUGCGAGGGUGACCUUUCCUCCCGGGCCCUCCGAGGAUGGUACUGAGAACGGGCACAGGAAGGGGUUUCAGCUGCCAAACUCCAGUCUUUUCCGAUAUAUACAUAUAAACAGAUGUACUAAUUCGAACACUUCCAUGCCUUACAAGCCUCAAACCAAAGGCUACGGUAAGAUUAGACCAUCCAGAUACCAUUCAUAUUUGGUGCCAGUGACGCUGGCUUCUCUUUUCCUCUCCCAUGAAGGGAAGCACCAACUAUUGAAAUCAGUACUUAUUACAAUAAUGCAUUUCCUCAAAAUGCUCAUGACCAGUUUUUACACCAGGACCUAACUCAAUACCUCUUCUCUUUUGUUUUUAUAGUAAAUGUUCCAUGUAGUUUUAUUUUAGCAAGAAUAACGGCAAAGCACACACUUGUGAUGCCAGUGCUCCCAGAGUCUGAGGCAGGAGGAGCUAAUUCCAGGCAUCUUAAUCUGAAGGAGAUAAGCAUGAGGACUUUACAUACAUUCAAACUCCUGUGGCUUCAAAACCUAGCUUAAUUUCUUACAUAGAUAAAUUAUUUCUCACAGUUCUAGAGUCUGGGAAACAAAAGAUUACAGUGCCCGAAACUGACGAAGACUUUUACCACGGCAUUAUAUGGUGGGAGGUCACCUCAGACGUUUUAUUUUAAAAAAAAAAAAAAAAAUGCUAAGGUCAGGACUAGGGACAAUGCUAGGGCUUGGUGGGUAAAGACAGUUGCCCCCUUACAAUCUACAAUCUUGCAUUUGAUUACCCAGGAUCCACCUAAAGGUUGUAGAAGAGAACUGACCCCACAAAGUUGUCCACACCUCCACUGUGGCAUGUAUGUGCACACUUGUACACAUACACACAGUAAUAAUAAAAGUUUUAAGGGGGCUGGUGAGAUGGCUCAGAAGUUAAGAGUACCGUCUGCUCUUCCAAAGGUCCUGAGUUCAGAUCCCAGCAACCACAUGGUGGCUCACAACCAUCUGUAACAAAAAUCUGAUGCCCUCUUCUGGAGUGUCUGAAGACAGCUACAGUGUACACACAUAUAAUAAAUAAAUAAAUAAAUCCUAAAAGAAAUUUUUAAAAAAAGUUUUAAGGGAUGCUAGCCUAAUAAAUAAAUAAAUAAAUAAAUAAAUCCUAAAA
rnacentral:lncRNA from 1 species